rnacentral:rRNA from 1 species
UGGGGAAUUUUGGACAAUGGGCGAAAGCCUGAUCCAGCAAUGCCGCGUGUGUGAAGAAGGCCUUCGGGUUGUAAAGCACUUUUGUCCGGGAAAGAAAUCCUUGGCUCUAAUACAGUCGGGGGAUGACGGUACCGGAAGAAUAAGCACCGGCUAACUACGUGCCAGCAGCCGCGGUAAUACGUAGGGUGCAAGCGUUAAUCGGAAUUACUGGGCGUAAAGCGUGCGCAGGCGGUUUGCUAAGACCGAUGUGAAAUCCCCGGGCUCAACCUGGGAACUGCAUUGGUGACUGGCAGGCUAGAGUAUGGCAGAGGGGGGUAGAAUUCCACGUGUAGCAGUGAAAUGCGUAGAGAUGUGGAGGAAUACCGAUGGCGAAGGCAGCCCCCUGGGCCAAAUACUGACGCUCAUGCACGAAAAGCGUGGGGGAGCAAACAGGAUUAGAUACCCUGGUAGUCCACGCCCUAAACGAUGUCAACUAGUUGUUGGGGAUUCAUUUCCUUAGUAACGUAGCUAACGCGUGAAGUUGACCGCCUGGGGAGUACGGUCGCAAGAUUAAAACUUAAAUGAAUUGACGGGGUCAUAGCUGUUUCCU